rnacentral:lncRNA from 1 species
GUAAGCUGGUUGACCGGGCUACAAGAGCGCGGCAGCUCUGGCUUAGAGAGAGAAGGCAGGUGGCUUGGCGGCACGGACAGACGGCGGCGGCGUUCUGGCCAGGCAGCUGGGCGUGGAACUCGGGCC